ACCUAGCGGCGGACGGGUGAGUAAUGCUUAGGAAUCUGCCUAUUAGUGGGGGACAACAUUCCGAAAGGAAUGCUAAUACCGCAUACGCCCUACGGGGGAAAGCAGGGGAUCUUCGGACCUUGCGCUAAUAGAUGAGCCUAAGUCAGAUUAGCUAGUUGGUGGGGUAAAGGCCUACCAAGGCGACGAUCUGUAGCGGGUCUGAGAGGAUGAUCCGCCACACUGGGACUGAGACACGGCCCAGACUCCUACGGGAGGCAGCAGUGGGGAAUAUUGGACAAUGGGCGAAAGCCUGAUCCAGCCAUGCCGCGUGUGUGAAGAAGGCCUUUUGGUUGUAAAGCACUUUAAGCGAGGAGGAGGCUACUUGGAUUAAUACUCUAGGAUAGUGGACGUUACUCGCAGAAUAAGCACCGGCUAACUCUGUGCCAGCAGCCGCGGUAAUACAGAGGGUGCGAGCGUUAAUCGGAUUUACUGGGCGUAAAGCGUGCGUAGGCGGCUUUUUAAGUCGGAUGUGAAAUCCCUGAGCUUAACUUAGGAAUUGCAUUCGAUACUGGGAAGCUAGAGUAUGGGAGAGGAUGGUAGAAUUCCAGGUGUAGCGGUGAAAUGCGUAGAGAUCUGGAGGAAUACCGAUGGCGAAGGCAGCCAUCUGGCCUAAUACUGACGCUGAGGUACGAAAGCAUGGGGAGCAAACAGGAUUAGAUACCCUGGUAGUCCAUGCCGUAAACGAUGUCUACUA
rnacentral:rRNA from 1 species